UACGUAGGGUGCGAGCGUUAAUCGGAAUUACUGGGCGUAAAGCGUGCGUAGGCGGUUCGUUAAGUUCGUUGUGAAAGCCCCGGGCUCAACCUGGGAACUGCAAUGGAAACUGGCGGGCUUGAGUGUGGCAGAGGGGGGUGGAAUUCCGCGUGUAGCAGUGAAAUGCGUAGAGAUGCGGAGGAACACCAACGGCGAAGGCAGCUCGCUGGGACGGAACUGACGCUAAGGCGCGAAAGCGUGGGGAGCGAACAGG
rnacentral:rRNA from 1 species